rnacentral:tRNA from 1 species
AUUUUGAUAGUUCUCAGUUGGUAGAGCGAAGGACUGUAGUUCCUUAGAUAGCUGGUUCGAACCCAGCUUGUAAGA